GUGGGGACGUGACUGGGCAUGCGCCCGAGUUACCUGUCCGGCGCGGCCUUGUAAUGAAGCGUGGUUUACAGCUCCCAAGACGCACCAGCCACAGGCCUCCGAUUGGCACCCCCACGGGCUUCUGGGAGUUGUAGUUUUUCAGAGCCUUCGCUUCCUUGUCCUGAAAUGACCUAUCGCCCACUUCUCACCGCUCCUGGCCUGAGGGGCUCCGCGGCCUCCCGGGCGAUUGGCCGAGUCACGGCUGGGUCUGGCCUCUAAGGCAGGGAACUGAAGGGCAGCCAUCGCGGAGCAGACAGUCGCUACGGCCCUGCCACUGCACAUAAUAGUGGAGCUCCAGGAGUGGGAAAAGAAGAAAAGCUGUCAUGCAAGCAUCCUUGAUAGAGGGUCAAUUUCUUUGUCAAGUCUCGAGUUGAUGACUGGAUUUUUACACGUAUUUGACAAUACAGUCCAAACACAACGGAAAUCAACUACAAAGUGAAAUUGCGCGUCUCAUGAAAGAUAAUUUUAUGAGAUUGAUGAAAGAAGGCCAAUGAGCUUAGUCCACAGUGAAAGAGGGGAAAAGACAUUGACAUCGAAGAGAUGCAGCUCCACAUGUAUGAAAUGACACCUGUAUGAAGUCUUUCAUUGUUGCAUUAUUUGCUCAGCAAAAGGUACCUGGUUAAAUAAACGAUGGUAUGAUAAGCAGCGGGAAAAACAAUAAGGAAGAUCUCUAUGUGCUAAUAUGAAAAGAGCUUUAGGAUGUAUUGGGGAUGCUGUUUAAAUUCAUCCAAGUCCAGACUUCCCUGGUGGCGCAGUGGUUAAGAAUCUGCCUGCCAAUGCAGGGGACACGGGUUCAAGCCCUGGUCCGGGUAGAUCCCACAUGCCGCGGAGCAACUAAGCCCGUGCGCCACAACUACUGAGCCUGCGCUCCAGAGCCCGUGAGCCACAACUACUGAAGCCCGUGUACCUAGAGCCCAUGCUCUGCAACAAGAGAAGCCACCGCAAUGAGAAGCCUGCACACCGCAACGAGAAGCCCACGCACCGCAACAAGGAGUAGCUCCCCGCUUGCUGCAAGUAGAGAAAGCCCACGCACAGCAAUGAAGACCCAACACAGCCAAAAAUAUAUAAAUAAAUUAAUUUUAAAAGAAAGAGUAAAGUAACUUAAAAAAAAAUUCAUCCAAGUCCACAUUUACCCAUAUACUAUCUCUUCUUCACAGAAUAUUGAAUAGCAUAUUUGAAGAGCAUUCCUUUACUUCUGUCUGGUACAUCUACUGCCCCACCACAAAAUUCACAUACGAUUCCAUCUGCCACCUUAUUCCAUCAAAGCUGUGGCUUUGACUCCUGCCACUUUCCUACAUGCUCAGCUCUGAGCUCCUGCACAUAAACUAGGACAAAAAAUUUGCUCCAUUAUUCUGCACACUGUUGCUCACACCCAUCUAGUCUGUCCUCUGUUGAAGACCUUUACUUUUUGCCCAGUUCUUGCUUUCCAUAGACCUCCUUGAACUUGACUAUCAAACUGUUUCUUGCUUCCCACAUCUGACCUCACCCAGGACUUCCUUCACCUUUGCUCUGUGUCCCAUGGCUCCAGGGGGAAAUCUAUCUUGAUGCAUUUAACGAACGCUUUAGACUGAACUACUCAUUCCCUUUGCAAAUGCUAUUUCUUCUGCCUAGAACACUCUCCUUGUCACUGUUUUCCCAGAGAAUAUGAGUAUAUGUAACCUCGUACCCCAACCAUGUUACUGCCCAUUCUGAGCUAACUCUAUAAUAUACCUUGAAAUUACUUCUAGUGGUUACCACACUACAUAAAAAGUAUUUGUUUACAUGUCUGCUUCUCCACUGUACUUGGUUUUCUUGACAUCGGGACCUUUGUCAUUUCCGAUCCCCAAUUCCUUGCAUAGUGCUUAGAACAUAAUAGGCCUUCAUUCAUUUACUGAUUCUUUUUUUUUAAACUAUUUUAAAAAAUUAAUUAAUUAGAUUGCGCCAGGUCUUAGUUGCAGCAGGCGGGCUCCUUAGUUGUGGCAUGCAAACUCAUAGUUGAAGCAUGCAUGUGGGGUCUAGUUCCCUGACCAGGGAUGGAAGCUGGGUCCCCUGUAUCAGGAGGGCGGAGUCCCUAAGAACUUUGCCAUGGGGGAAGUACCCAUUUACUCAUUCUUAAGGCAAACAUUAAUUGAGUUGAGGACCUAUUGUAUUCCUCCUCUCAUGGAGCAUAGAGGACUUCACUGGAAGCUGUGGAAGCAGCAAGAGCUGUUUGUUAUGUAAAUCAACUUGCAUUACAACUUGACUUGCUCACCUUUCUUUUCAUUUUGUGAUCAAUCAUUGCUCUUCAA